rnacentral:rRNA from 1 species
UGUGCGCGAGUCACUGGGACUUGCGAAACCCAAAGGCGUAAUGAAAGUGAAGGCGUCGCCUUGCGCGCGCCGAGGGAGGAUGGGUGCCGUCUCGACGGUGCCCCGCACUCCCGGGGCGUCUCGUUCUCAUUGCGAGUUGAGGCGCACCCAGAGCGUACACGCUGGGACCCGAAAGAUGGUGAACUAUGCCUGGUCAGGACGAAGUCAGGGGAAACCCUGAUGGAGGUCCGUAGCGAUUCUGACGUGCAAAUCGAUCGUCGGAACUGGGUAUAGGGGCGAAAGACUAAUCGAACCAUCUAGUAGCUGGUUCCCUCCGAAGUUUCCCUCAGGAUAGCUGGCGCUCGUUAUGCGAGUCUCAUCUGGUAAAGCGAAUGAUUAGAGGCAUUGGGGCCGAAACGGUCUCAACCUAUUCUCAAACUUUAAAUGGGUGAGAUCUCCGGCUUGCUUGAACGUGAAGCCGCGAGAUUUCGGAUCAGAGUGCCAAGUGGGCCACUUUUGGUAAGCAGAACUGGCGCUGUGGGAUGAACCAAACGCCGAGUUAAAGCGCCUAAAUCGACGCUUAUGGGAUACCAUGAAAGGCGUUGGUAACUUAAGACAGCAGGACGGUGGCCAUGGAAGUCGGA